rnacentral:tRNA from 1 species
ACCUGGGUGGCUCAGUCGGUUGAGCGUCCGACUUCAGCUCGGGUCAUGAUCUCACAGUCUGUGAGUUCGAGCCCCACGUCAGGCU